ensembl:lncRNA
CUCUCAGGCUACAGAUACAGGAUCCAGUACAUAAUGCUCAAAGCAUAAACCCAGAUCAAAUCUCGCUGCAGCAGCAGUAUACAAAGGAGUAGAGAAAAAGCAUGCUGACCGUGCAUUGAAGAGAAGGCACUCGAAAGCCCCUGUUUACCCUUGUUUCAGGCACAAGUACAGUUCUUAGUGCAUGAGUGAUGCAAAAAUAACUGGAGGAUUGCAUCAAGCAUUCAUCCACGGCAAUUUAAAUAAAGAUGAGCUGACGUGAUGGAGAUUAACUGCACUGUAAGAAUGCCUGCAGUGCUCAGCAGAAUGAGGGGCAAGGGAGAAAAAGGACAAGGGGGGGAGUUACACUUCUAGCAAAAGGACAUAUCACUUAGUCCAGCAAAUCAGCAUGCCCAAAAUUUCAUAUUACUGACGUAGAUCUGGCUCUGGCAUGUCUGCAUCAUGCUGUGUAGGCAUUAGGUGCUCUGCAUGUUUAACAUGUGUCUGUAGUCCAGGAGGAAAAUUCUUUCAGUAUAUGAAAGGGAGCUACAGGAAGAAGGGGACAGACUCCUUAGCAAGAUCUGUGGUGACAGAACAAGGGGAAAUGGUUUCAUGCUUAAAGGGGGGAUAUUUAGUUUAGACAUAAGGAAAAAGUCUUUUACAGUGAGGGUGGUGAGACACUGGAACCGGUUGCCCAGAGAGGUGGUGGAUGCCCCAUCCCUGGAGACUGUCAAGGCCAAGCUGGACCAGGUUUUGGGCAACCUGAUCUACCUAUGGAUGUCCCUGUUCACUGCAGAGGAGUUGGACUAGGUGACCUUUAAAGGUCCUUUCUAACUCUAAGGAUUCUAUGAUUCUUCCCCAGAUAGUUACUGGUAGUCUUACUGGGUCAGAAUGAGCCAGGGUUGCCUGCACAUCACUGCUGGCAGAAUUUUUCACCUGAAUCUAUAAGCCAACUCUUUUUCAUUUAGAAAGCCAGGGAGAAUUCGGUCAGGCUCUGAAGAAUGAGGAGCUUCCACAGCUGCUGCCCUCUAGCCUUUAUGGACAUCAGAGAGACUGCACGGCCCUAGUAAGUCAAUGGAGAUACUUCAUGUAUGCUCGUCUCAAGAAAAGUAGAAUCUGUUUCCACUUCUGGUUUAUGCAAUGGAAAGUUCCAAAUGCUGAAGAAGCUGGGCCACUUGGAUCAAAGAUAGCCAUCUGAGACUGAAGGUUUUCAUCCAUUCUUUCCAAAUGUUUUCACUGCCUCCACUCUUGAUUUCUGUAUGCUUUGACUUUAUCAUCCAAGCUACAACAACAACAGGACAAACUCCACAUAGUGCAAAUGUAAUUUGCAGGGUCAGCAUGAAACUGAUCCUGGAUCUUGGAUGAAAAGAGAGCUAUAUAUGUUGUGUCACAUCCAUAGAGCUGCCAGCACCUGCUAAGAACCUUCAACACAAACUGAAGCCAAAGUGAGCUGAGGUCACGCUUCAGGAACGCCAGCAUUAAGUCAUU